GGGUUGUGAGGUUAAGCGACUAAGCGUACACGGUGGAUGCCCUGGCAGUCAGAGGCGAUGAAGGACGUGCUAAUCUGCGAUAAGCGCCGGUAAGGUGAUAUGAACCGUUAUAACCGGCGAUUUCCGAAUGGGGAAACCCAGUGUGACUCGUCACACUAUCAUUAACUGAAUCCAUAGGUUAAUGAGGCGAACCGGGGGAACUGAAACAUCUAAGUACCCCGAGGAAAAGAAAUCAACCGAGAUUCCCCCAGUAGCGGCGAGCGAACGGGGAGGAGCCCAGAGCCUGAAUCAGCAU
rnacentral:rRNA from 4 species